rnacentral:rRNA from 1 species
GAUGAACGCUAGCUACAGGCUUAACACAUGCAAGUCGCAGGGUAACAUGAGGAAAGCUUGCUUUCCUUGAUGACGACUGGCGCACGGGUGAGUAACGCGUAUCCAACCUUCCCAUAACUACGGGAUAACCCGUUGAAAGACGGCCUAAUACCGUAUGAUAUCGUUUGCUGACAUCAAAUAACGAUUAAAGGUUUGGCGGUUAUGGAUGGGGAUGCGUCUGAUUAGCUUGUUGGCGGGGUAACGGCCCACCAAGGCGACGAUCAGUAGGGGUUCUGAGAGGAAGGUCCCCCACAUUGGAACUGAGACACGGUCCAAACUCCUACGGGAGGCAGCAGUGAGGAAUAUUGGUCAAUGGGCGAGAGCCUGAACCAGCCAAGUAGCGUGCAGGACGACGGCCCUAUGGGUUGUAAACUGCUUUUAUGUGGGGAUAAAGUGCGUGACGUGUCAUGCAUUGCAGGUACCACAUGAAUAAGGACCGGCUAAUUCCGUG